UGGAUCAGUGAUGACCACUGAUGGUGUAUGAGUCAUAUAUGAUGAGUGUGUGUCUGGAACGUGGUCCAA
ensembl:snoRNA